UACGUAGGGUGCGAGGGUUGUCCGGAAUUAUUGGGCGUAAAGGGCUCGUAGGCGGUUUGUCGCGUCGGGAGUGAAAACACACAGCUUAACUGUGUGCUUGCUUCCGAUACGGGCAGACUAGAGGUAUGCAGGGGAGAACGGAAUUCCUGGUGUAGCGGUGAAAUGCGCAGAUAUCAGGAGGAACACCGGUGGCGAAGGCGGUUCUCUGGGCAUUACCUGACGCUGAGGAGCGAAAGUGUGGGGAGCGAACAGG
rnacentral:rRNA from 1 species